rnacentral:misc_RNA from 1 species
GAUGAAGAACGCAGCGAAAUGCGAUAAGUAAUGUGAAUUGCAGAAUUCAGUGAAUCAUCGAAUCUUUGAACGCACCUUGCACCCUUUGGCAUUCUGAAGGGUAUGCUCGUUUGAGUGUCAUUGUACUCUCACACUCCCGAUCUUUGCAUUGGGAGCAGUGGACUUGGGUUUGCUGCUUCACCGUCGCUUACCUCAAAUAGGUUAGUGCAAAUCUUGGUUGGACAUAGUACGGCGUGAUAAGUGUUCUUCGCCGGUGCCUCGCAAAGAGGGUGGCCGAUCGGGAUGUUGUGCUCCAAACCGUCUUCGGACAAUCUCUGACGACUUGACCUCAAAUCGAGUAAGACUACCCGCUGAACUUAAGCAUAUCAAUAAGCGGAGGA